rnacentral:misc_RNA from 1 species
GAUGAAGAACGUAGCGAAAUGCGAUAAGUAAUGUGAAUUGCAGAAUUCAGUGAAUCAUCGAAUCUUUGAACGCACAUUGCGCCCCCUGGUAUUCCGGGGGGCAUGCCUGUUCGAGCGUCAUUUCACCACUCAAGCCUCGCUUGGUAUUGGGCAACGCGGUCCGCCGCGUGCCUCAAAUCGACCGGCUGGGUCUUCUGUCCCCUAAGCGUUGUGGAAACUAUUCGCUAAAGGGUGCUCGGGAGGCUACGCCGUAAAACAAACCCAUUUCUAAGGUUGACCUCGGAUCAGGUAGGGAUACCCGCUGAACUUAAGCAUGUCAAUAAGCGGAGGA